rnacentral:rRNA from 1 species
GACGAACGCUGGCGGCGUGCUUAACACAUGCAAGUCGAACGGAAAGGCCCUGCUUUUGUGGGGUGCUCGAGUGGCGAACGGGUGAGUAACACGUGAGUAACCUGCCCUUGACUUUGGGAUAACUUCAGGAAACUGGGGCUAAUACCGGAUAGGAGCUCCUGCUGCAUGGUGGGGGUUGGAAAGUUUCGGCGGUUGGGGAGGGACUCGCGGCUUAUCGGCUUGUUGGUGGGGUAGUGGCUUACCAAGGCUUUGACGGGUAGCCGGCCUGCGAGGGUGACCGGCCACAUUGGGACUGAGAUACGGCCCAGACUCCUGCGGGAGGCAGCAGUGGGGAAUAUUGCACAAUGGGCGGAAGCCUGAUGCAGCAACGCCGCGUGCGGGAUGACGGCCUUCGGGUUGUAAACCGCUUUCGCCUGUGACGAAGCGUGAGUGACGGUAAUGGGUAAAGAAGCACCGGCUAACUACGUG